rnacentral:rRNA from 1 species
CUACGGGGGGCAGCAGUGAGGAAUAUUGCACAAUGGGGGGAACCCUGAUGCAGCAACGCCGCGUGGAGGAUGACGCAUUUCGGUGUGUAAACUCCUUUUAUAUGUCAAGAAAAUGACGGUAGCAUAUGAAUAAGCACCGGCUAACUCCGUGCCAGCAGCCGCGGUAAUACGGAGGGUGCAAGCGUUACUCGGAAUCACUGGGCGUAAAGGACGCGUAGGCGGGUUGGAAAGUCAGGUGUGAAAUCCUACAGCUUAACUGUAGAACUGCACUUGAAACUUCUAAACUAGAGUAUGGGAGGGGGAGAUGGAAUUUGUGGUGUAGGGGUAAAAUCCGUAGAUAUCACUAGGAAUACCUAAAGCGAAGGCGAUCUCCUGGAACAUUACUGACGCUAAGGCGUGAAAGCGUGGGGAGCAAACAGGAUUAGAUACCCGAGUAGUC